GGUGAGAUGGCCGAGCGGUUAAGGCGCCAGGUUAAGGUUUACCUUAGCACAAAAUUUCCUGGUCACGAAAGUGGCGUGGGUUCAAGUCCCACUCUCAUCA